UGGGGAAUUUUGGACAAUGGGCGCAAGCCUGAUCCAGCAAUGCCGCGUGAGUGAAGAAGGCCUUCGGGUUGUAAAGCUCUUUCAGUUGAGAAGAAAAGAUUGUAACUAAUAAUUGCAAUCCAUGACGGUAUCGACAGAAGAAGCACCGGCUAACUACGUGCCAGCAGCCGCGGUAAUACGUAGGGUGCGAGCGUUAAUCGGAAUUACUGGGCGUAAAGGGUGCGCAGGCGGUUUUGUAAGUCAGAUGUGAAAUCCCCGGGCUUAACCUGGGAACUGCGUUUGAAACUACAGAGCUAGAGUGUGGCAGAGGGGGGUGGAAUUCCAUGUGUAGCAGUGAAAUGCGUAGAGAUAUGGAAGAACAUCGAUGGCGAAGGCAGCCCCCUGGGUCAACACUGACGCUCAUGCACGAAAGCGUGGGGAGCAAACA
rnacentral:rRNA from 1 species